rnacentral:rRNA from 1 species
GAUGAACGCUAGCGGCAGGCUUAAUACAUGCAAGUCGUGGGGCAGCGCGGGUAGCAAUACCUGGCGGCGACCGGCAAACGGGUGCGGAACACGUACGCAACCUUCCUUUAAGCGGGGAAUAGCCCAGGGAAACUUGGAUUAAUACCCCAUAAGACAGUGGAGUGGCAUCACUCAGCUGUUAAAGCUCCGGCACUUAAAGAUGGGCGUGCGGCUGAUUAGGUAGUUGGCGGGGUAACGGCCCACCAAGCCGACGAUCAGUAACUGGUGUGA